AUGAACGCUGGCGGCGUGCCUUAAGCAUGCAAGUCACGGGGCCGCAAGGCAACCGGCGGACGGGUGAGUAACGCGUGGGAAUCUACCUUGAAGUGGGUAUAGCUCGCCGAAAGGCGAGGUAAUACCGCAUGUGAUCGCAAGAUAAAGCCGCAAGGCGCUUUAAGAUGAGCCUGCGUAAGAUUAGCCUAGGUUGGUGGGGGUAAAGCCUACCAGCGCGACGAUCCUUUAUGCUGGUCUGAGAGGAUGGUCAGCCACAACGGCACUGAGACACGGGCCGUACAUCUACGGAUGGCAGCACCUGGGAAUAUUCGGCAAUGGGCGAAAGCCUGACCGAGCGACGCCGCGUGGGGGAUUGAAGGCCUUCGUGGUUGUAAACCCCUUUUACGGAGGGAAGAUUAUGACGGUACCCCCUCGCGAAUAAGCACCUGCUAACUACGUGCCAGAAGCCUCGGUAAGACGUAGGGGUGCAAGCGUUAUCCGGAUUCAUUGGGCGUAAAGAGUUGCGUAGGCGGUUUGAUGCAUUUUGCUUUAAAGCCUGUGGCUCAACCACAGUUUAGGGGCAAAAUAUGAUCAGACUUGAACGGUUCGAGAGGGUACUGGAACCGAUCAUGGAGCAGUGAAAUGCGUUGAUAUGAUCGGGAACACAAAGGCGUAGGCAGGUACCUAGAGGACCCUUGACGCUGAGGCACGAAAGCUUGGGGAGCGAAGCAGAUUAGAGACCUGCGUAGUCAAGCCGUAAACGAUCCUUGCUAGAUGGGAGGGGUUUCCUUCCUGGUCGUAAGCUAACGCGUUAAGCAAGGCGCCUGGGGAGUACGAACGCAAGUUUAAAACUCAAAGGAAUUCGACGGGGAGGCCGCACAAGCAGUGGAGCGUGUGGUUUAAUUCGAUACAAAGCGGAAAACCUCACCAGGGUUUGACAUGUAAGUGCAAGCCCCUGGAAACAGGGGAAUCCUUCGAGGGCCUUACACAGAGCUGCAUGGCUGUCGUCAGCUCGUGGCGUGAGCUGUACCGUUAAGUCGUGGAAACGAGCGCAACCCGCACCGUAUGUUGAAUAGUUCAUCGCGGAACUGCCCUCUUUUUUGAGGAGGAAGGCGCGGAUGACGUCAAGGUCAGCACGGCUCUUACACCCUGGGCUACACACACACCCUACAAUGGCGAAAAACAACGAGCUGCAAACUGGUAACAGUAAAGCUAAUCUCUGAAAUUUCGCCUCAGUUCAGAUUGAGGGCUGCAAUUCGCCCUCAUGGAGUCGGAAUUGCUAGUAAUCGCGAAUCAGCAGGUCGCGGUGAAUACGUUCUCGCCUUCUUGUACACACCGCCCGUCAAGGCAGCAAAGUUGGGAGCACCCGAAUCGGCCAUUGGCCGAGAAGGUGAGACCAGCGAUGAAGCUU
rnacentral:rRNA from 1 species